CAGUAGCCGCGGUAAGACGAACCGUGCAAACGUUACUCGGAAUCACUGGGCUUAAAGCGCACGUAGGCGGCGACAUAAGUUAGAGGUGAAAUCCCAUCGGCUCAACCGUGGAACUGCCUCUAAUACUGUGUUGCUUGAGGGAGAACGGGGCAUUCGGAACUUCCGGUGGAGCGGUGAAAUGUGUUGAUAUCGGAAGGAACGCCGGUGGCGAAAGCGGAAUGCUGGGUCUCUUCUGACGCUGAGGUGCGAAAGCUAGGGUAGCGAACGGGAUUAGACCCCCGUAGUCCCUGUCUCUUAUACA
rnacentral:rRNA from 1 species